rnacentral:rRNA from 2 species
CAACAACGGAUCUCUUGGUUCUGGCAUCGAUGAAGAACGCAGCGAAAUGCGAUAAGUAGUGUGAAUUGCAGAAUUCAGUGAAUCAUCGAAUCUUUGAACGCACAUUGCGCCCCUUGGUAUUCCAUGGGGCAUGCCUGUUCGAGCGUCAUUUGUACCU